rnacentral:rRNA from 1 species
GACGAACGCUGGCGGCGUGCUUAACACAUGCAAGUCGAACGGAAAGGCCCUGCUUUUGUGGGGUGCUCGAGUGGCGAACGGGUGAGUAACACGUGAGUAACCUGUCCUUGACUUUGGGAUAACUUCAGGAAACUGGGGCUAAUACCGGAUAGGAGCUCCUGCUGCAUGGUGGGGGUUGGAAAGUUUCGGCGGUUGGGGAUGGACUCGCGGCUUAUCAGCUUGUUGGUGGGGUAGUGGCUUACCAAGGCUUUGACGGGUAGCCGGCCUGAGAGGGUUACCGGCCACAUUGGGACUGAGAUACGGCCCAGACUCCUACGGGAGGCAGCGGUGGAGAAUAUUGCACAGUAGGCGGAAGCCUGAUGCGACAACGCCGCGUGCGGGAUGACGGCCUUCGGGUUGUAAACCGCUUUCGCCUGUGACGAAGCGUGAGUGACGGUAAUGGGUAAAGAAGCACCGGCUAACUACGUG